rnacentral:rRNA from 1 species
ACGGCUCAGUAACACGUGGACAACCUGCCCUUAGGACGGGUAUAAACCCGGGAAACUGGGUAUAAUUCCCGAUAGGUCUCGUCUGCUGGAAUGCAUCGAGAUCCAAAGCUCCGGCGCCUAAGGAUGGGUCUGCGGCCUAUCAGGUAGUAGUGGGUGUAGCGUACCUACUAGCCUACGACGGGUACGGGUUGUGAGAGCAAGAGCCCGGAGAUGGAUUCUGAGACACUAAUCCAGGCCCUACGGGGUGCAGCAGGCGCGAAAACUUUACAAUGCUGGGAACAGCGAUAAGGGAACCUCGAGUGCCAGGUUACAAAUCUGGCUGUCGUGAUGCCUAAAAAGCAUUAUAUAGCAAGGGCCGGGCAAGACCGGUGCCAGCCGCCGCGGUAAUACCGGCGGCUCGAGUGGUGGCCACUAUUACUGGGCUUAAAGCGUUCGUAGCUGGGUUGUUAAGUCUCUUGGGAAAUCUACCGGCUUAACCGAUAGGCGUCCAAGGGAUACUGGCAUUCUAGGGACCGGGAGAGGUGAGGGGUACUUCAGGGGUAGGAGUGAAAUCUUGUAAUCCCUGGGGGACCACCUGUGGCGAAGGCGCCUCACCAGAACGGCUCCGACAGUGAGGGACGAAAGCUGGGGGAGCAAACCGGAUUAGAUACCCGGGUAGUCCCAGCCGUAAACGAUGCGCGUUAGGUGUAUCGAUGACCACGAGUCAUCGAGGUGCCGAAGGGAAACCGUGAAACGCGCCGCCUGGGAAGUACGGUCGCAAGGCUGAAACUUAAAGGAAUUGGCGGGGGAG